rnacentral:rRNA from 1 species
UACGUAGGGUGCGAGCGUUGUCCGGAAUUACUGGGCGUAAAGAGCUCGUAGGCGGUCUGUCGCGUCGGCUGUGAAAACUCGGGGCUCAACUCCGAGCUUGCAGUCGAUACGGGCAGGCUAGAGUUCGGCAGGGGAGACUGGAAUUCCUGGUGUAGCGGUGAAAUACGCAGAUAUCGGGAGGAACACCGGUGGCGAAGGCGGUUCUCUGGGCCUGUACUGACGCUGAGGAGCGAAAGCGUGGGGAGCGAACAGG